rnacentral:rRNA from 1 species
UAUACGGCGAAACUGCGAAUGGCUCAUUAAAACAGUUAUAGUUUAUUUGAUGGUCUUUACUACAUGGAUAACCGUGGUAAUUCUAUGGCUAAUACAUGCGCACAUACCUCUUCCCUCGUGGAAGGGUAGUGUUUAUUAGAUACAGAACCAACCCACCUUCGGGUGGUCCCCAGGUGAUUCAUAGUAACCGAACGGAUCGCAUUAUGACCUUUUGGUCGGCGAUGGAUCAUUCAAGUUUCUGACCUAUCAGCUUUCGACGGUACUGUAUUGGACUACCGUGGCAGUGACGGGUAACGGGGAAUUAGGGUUCGAUUCCGGAGAGGGAGCCUGAGAAACGGCUACCACAUCUAAGGAAGGCAGCAGGCGCGCAAAUUACCCAAUCCUGACUCAGGGAGGUAGUGACAAGAAAUAACAACACUGGAAAUUAUAUUUCUAGUGAUUGGAAUGAUGGGAAUCCAAACCCCUUUCAGAGUAACAAUUG